rnacentral:rRNA from 1 species
UACGUAGGGGGCUAGCGUUGUCCGGAAUCAUUGGGCGUAAAGAGCGUGUAGGCGGUCCGGUAAGUCCGCUGUGAAAGUCGGGGGCUCAACCCUCGAAUGCCGGUGGAUACUGUCGGGCUAGAGUGCGGAAGAGGCGAGUGGAAUUCCUGGUGAUAGCGGUGAAAUGCGCAGAUAUCAGGAGGAACACCUAUUGCGAAGGCAGCUCGCUGGGACGUAACUGACGCUGGAGACGCGAAAGCGUGGGGAGCAAACAGG